rnacentral:rRNA from 1 species
GUAGGUGGCAAGGCGUUGUCCGGAAUUAUUGGGCGUAAGCGCGCGCAGGUGGUUCGUUAAGUCUGAUGUGAAAGACCCCCGGGCUCAACCGGGGAGGGUCAUUGGAAAACUGGGGAACGUUGAGUGCAGGAGAGGAAAGUGGAUUCCACGUGUAGCGGUGAAAUGCGUAGAUAUGUGGAGGAACACCAGUGGCGAAGGCGACUUUCUGGCCUGUAACUGACACUGAGGCGCGAAAGCGUGGGGAGCAAACAGGAUUAGAUACCCUGGUAGUCCACGCCGUAAACGAUGAGUGCUAAGUGUUGGGGGGUUUCCGCCCCUCAGUGCUGCAGCUAACGCAUUAAGCACUCCGCCUGGGGAGUACGGUCGCAAAGACUG